GCGCCUGUAGCUCAACUGGAUAGAGUGUCUGGCUACGGACCAGAAGGUUGGGGGUUCGAAUCCUCCCAGGCGUACAA
rnacentral:tRNA from 1 species